CUGGCUCAGGACGAACGCUGGCGGCACGCUUAACACAUGCAAGUCGAACGGAGAUAAUUUGAGUUUACUUAGAUUAUCUUAGUGGCGGACGGGUGAGUAACACGUGAGCAACCUGCCUUUGAGAGAGGGAUAGCUUCUGGAAACGGAUGGUAAUACCUCAUAACGUAGUUUUACCGCAUGAUAGGACUACCAAAGAUUUAUCACUCAAAGA
rnacentral:rRNA from 1 species